ACAGGCAGCUGGGUGGUGAAAGAGGUGAAGAGGUCAGGAGAGUCAGAGGCAGCCCGCGGCGCCAGCGUCCCCUUUAAGAUCUGCCCGCCUGGGCGUUGUGCAUGAAGCCCACCACGUCAUCUAGCCCCCAGCACAGGGCAUCUGCCAGCAGGACCAGUGACUCAUCGAAGUACUCGGCCACCAAGACCAAGUCAAAGACAGAGUCCAGCCAGGCCAGACUCCACUGGAUGAAGGAUGAAGAUCCCAAAUCUGAAGAAGCAGGGCUGGAUGUCCUACUGUGACCGUCAGCAAGGGUGGGAACAGGAUGGAAGAGAGCGUUAGGAUCCAGGGUGUGGGCUGGAGGGCCAGCACCAGAAGGCAAGACACGCAGCUGUGGGGCCUUGGGGUCUCUGGGGGGGCGAGGAUUCCCUGUUUUGGUCCUCAUCUCUGGAGGGAAGGGGAGGCCAAAGUCAAACCAUAGCAAGUUGCGCGCAUAGUGGUCUCCACGGGCCCCUGGCCGGUAGAAGGCUCGAGGAUUGGCCAGGAAGGCAGCCAAGGAGGGUGCUUUGCGGAAAGCCGACGAGGUGGAUUUAUAGUAGGAGAAGGCAGAGCGGGUCAGAGCUGCUGGGUCUCGAACAAUGGAAAAGAAGAAGCUGUCAGAAGGCAUGACCUGAAGUACCUGCAGAGGAGAGAAAACAGACUUAGGGAGAGAGAACUAAGAGCAAACCCAGUGCCCGCUGAACCCCCAGCCUCUUCCAGCCUCCUUCUGACAGCUCUGCUGGGAACCUCUCAGCUUCCUUCACUAGCUGCACAGAUCUUGGGUAGGGCAUUUGACAUCUCUGAGACUCAGUUUGCUCAUCUGCAAAAGGGGAGCCAUCCUACCUUCCUUGCAGAGGUAUGUGAUUGCAGAGAUUACAUGAGGUAAGGACGUGAAGGAGCCUGGAAUGUGGGAAGCUCCUGGAGAACAUUAAUUUCCUUGGGCCUUUCUGUCUGCCUUGGUCAGUAAAACCUCUGGGAAUUAAACUCUGUGUUCAGUUCGCCAAUGAAAACCUAUUAAGUGCCUACCCUGGGACUCUUGGUCACAGCUCCAAGAAAGGAAUCGGCCUCAGGCCUCCUCAGGGGGAUCAUGGGCAGCCAAUAGGGAGGAGAGGGGACAACCAAUGCUGUCUCGGGGGCAGGCCAAGCCCAGGAUGGCCGAAAGAUGGGUCACUUGGGGGGUUCCUUCCCAUCUUGGAGAGCAAGAGACACCCCUGGAAUGGAUGUUGGGGAGCCAUGGCCACUUGGUUGGGUGCCGCUCUGAGGCCUGGGACAUGUGAUCCCACUUCUGGGCAAGAGGGAAGGAGGGAAUUGGGCUGAGCCGCACCCUAACAUGUUCCUGCAGGCAGGUCCACAUCAGAACCCAGCUCUGGGGCUCCCUAAAGAGUUUCUGCCUCGGAAGGUCACAGCUGUCAUUGAACCUGACUUCCUGACAAGUCCUCCAAUCCGCUCUGCAGAUGUGGGCAUGGCCGCAGGGCAGAAUCCACAAACUGUGUGUCUCUUUGAAGGCAUAGGGGAGCGGUGCAGAGAACAGGCUGUGGCAUCAGCUGGACCUGGAAUAAACUCCCAAUUCAGCCAUUUACCAAUGGUGUACCUUUGAGCAGGUCAUUGAACUUCUCAGAGCCUUCAUUCCUCCAUCCGUAAGUCUGGGUUAACACUUACCUUGAAGAAUGUGGAAGAGCAGGGAACGUGGGAGAUGUUCAGUGAAUGGUGGUACCAAUGAAGGACAUGAUCGUAAACUCCAGAGAAACCUGCAUCGGUGAUCGCUAGCCUCGCCUCACCCCCAACAGUGCCCCUCGCUGCCAAUUCAAUCAUAUUCAUGGGGCUCAGCUGCUUUCUCCAGCUUCAACAGGACUGUCUUUGCAGCCACCGCUGGAGCUCUACCACCUAAACACACACACACACACACACACACACACACACACACGUCUCACCACCACAUCUUUGAGAUAUUCUGCUCUAAGACUGCCUAAUACUUUCCUUCCUACAAAGUCAUGUUCCCUCUUUCCUGUAAAACUCACCACUCCAGAAAGCCCCACUUGUUUUGAUGAAUAUCCUCUCCACAGUUCCAGAUACAAACAUACACACACACACACACACACACACACACACACACAUACAUCGCAGGUGCUUUGACCUUGGAGCAGCUGGGCCUGGGUUCAAAUCCCAGCUCUGUCACUUUCUGUUCACAGAGGCCAGUCACAGCCUCUCUGAGAUUUGCUCUCCUCAUCUGUGUCGCGGAGACUUAUAAUGCCCUCCAGGCAAGGUGGUGGUGCGAUGACUACCCAGCACACACGACGUUUUCCAUGAAAGUCCCCUCCUUCCCUGUGUUUUCAUCUGCACAUGGAUUUUCUUCCUCCAGGAGCUCUCAGGCUCCCAUGUGUGUGGAGGACAUGAGAGUGGGUGCACUCAUCUCCCCUGUUAGAACUGAGGCUCUCCACUGGGACUGGGCUAGGGCUUGGCAUAUAGCUGACCUCAAAAUCUGGCAGACAUGGUGAGGGGAGUGAGAUGAAGACUGGUCAGAGGGCAGUGACUGAGCAGGGGCCCUGUUAGUCUCAGUGGAAGGCACCAGGAGGGGGGCACCUGGAGGCAGAGUUUCAGGGGGGUGGGAUCAGGGUUGGUGGGGCACUGAUGAUAGAUUGGUCCAGGAAAGAUACUGGAGUAAACUCUAGGUGGGAGAGGGCAGAACUUCAGCUGCCAGAAAACUAAGCAAGAGACACCAGAAGAGAGGGGAACAGGAUUCUCACCUUUGUGGCACCCACACCCAACUCUUGGGGAGGAGGUUGCCUGGGGAGUCCCCAGGCCUGGGCCUCCUCCCCUGGUGGUCUUGGCCAUGCAGCCCAGAGCCCAUUUCUCCCCAGUCCCACCCACCCCAUCUCCACCCCUCACCUCUUUCAGGUUGAACCUCAUGUGAUGACAGAGGAUGUGGAAGGGGGGCUGGGUGCCUCCACCCUGAGGGCGGUAGCCUUUGACCCGAGAGGCCUCGAAAAGUCUUGGGUAGCCAAACUGGUAGCGGGCAGGGAGGGCGAAGCGCAGCCCGUGCCGGUCCCCGUAGCGAUGCAGCAGGCUCAGCACAGAGCUGCUCCCGGAUUUAUGAGUCUUGAGGAACACGAGUCGCUGUCGUGGUGAGCAGGACGGAAGAGCUAGUCCCGGGGAUGGAGCCCAGGACUGUCGGAGCUGCAGCCCGGGGAGCCUGGGAAGAGACAGGAGGGGAAGUGUCCUGUCCCUCGGCAACAGGUGCAUGGGUGUCUGUGCAGUAAGGACAGAGGACGUGAAGCAUCCUCUGAGUCCCCAAGGGUCGCAGCCCCAGGUGGAUGGGGAGGAGCACGUGGGGAGGGGGGCAUCUGCAGGGGCAUUAAGACAAGAUGAGAACUCACCUCCUCUGGAAGGGACCCCCCCAGAACUGGAGGGCAAAUCCGAUGGUCAUGAAGACUCCCAGAGCCACCCCCAGGCUCCGAGGCCCCCAGAGGCGCAUGGUCCUGGUAGGAGACAGAUGGCCCAUGUGGCACCGGGAAGGGUGAUGCUAUUGAGGGACAGGGACAGGCACAGAAGCAGAGGCAGCUUGAGACAGCCGUGCGGACGCAGAAGGCGCCGGUUCGAGGCCGGGGGGUCAUUCCCCAGAUCUGCUCGCAGCCCCGGUUGAGUCUGCCCCCUGAGUUAGCAGAUUUUUGCCUCUGUCAGCGUCUAGAAGGGAAAUGAGGGGGAAGAAGGGGAGUCUAAGGAGAGGGUAGAGCUAGCUCUCCUGCUGCUACUGCAGCUGAAACUUCAUUUCGGGUGGGAGGGGCAGCGGGGCAGGGUGUGUGGAGGGGUGCCUCUCUACCCUCAGGUCUUCUAGGUGUCCCGCAACUGCUCCUCUAGGUGCCAUCAGCCUCCAGCGCCCACCGACAGUUUCUCCUGGGCAUCGGGGAUUUGGAAGAAAAGGGGAAAGUUCAGCCCAGUCGGCUCAUACCAGUCCCCCGGCCGCCUCCUCAGCCCCCGUCUGUGAUAAGCUGGGAUGAAGAGCCCCAUUCUGAGGCUGAGAGCGGGAGCCAUGAGGAGGGAAUGAGGGCCCGACAAGACACCGGCUUAGGAACCCGGCGAGGCCCCAGCUUCUCAAUCAACCAGGAGCCCAGACUUGACCCGUCAAAUUACAGUGCACAGCCACGGGCCACAGCCCCUCCAACAAGCCCCGAGAGCCCUCUUCCAGGACGAGCCCAGAGUGACCCCAGGCGGAGAACCCACACUUGCUACCCAGAGACCCGCCCCCUCUGGCAUCAUCCCCCAGCCCAGCCCCCAGGACCCAGCCCCGCACUGGACUCCCCUCUAUAUCCAGAUUUCUUCUUAUCCUCCCAUCCAUCUCUGUCUCCUCCCAUUACCCCCAUUCCAGCCCGCUGUCCCCUCCAGCGUUGGUGACUGCUCAGUCUGUCUCCAGCCCUGGGCUGGCUCCCACCGGGAUUCUUUCCCAUAAAUUCUAGAGAUCCUCCCUCCACUGGCCGAGGCCUCAGCUUCACUUGCCCACUCACCAGGCCACCUGAGGAGCAGCAGGGAAAUCAGGGUCUUGUCCUCCCGCCUGCCCCAGCCACCGCCCGAUUCCUCGCUCGGCUCAACUCUCCCCAUAAACUUUCUCGGCGCCCAAGCUCCUCCCCCUCCCUCCCUUUGUCCCGCCAGUCUCUGUAGCUGAUUCAGCUUUGAUCGCGUCCCUGGGUCUCUCCCUCCCUGCAUCUUUCCCUCACUGUCAGGACACUCAGCCUGCCCUUGCAAGACACCAUUUCCACCCUCCCUUCACACUCAGGAAUCCAUUGUACCUUUUCCCUCUGCCUUCUGCAGGACAAAAGACUCAUUCAGGCGACCGAAAGAAAGAAGGAGAAAGUUAUCAGACAAGAAUUGAAAGCAGGAUGUGAACAAGGUAACCUGAGGCUGAUACGGAGAACAGGGGCCGCCAGGGGCAGUGGUGUGGUCGUAUUAAUGACGCAUCGGCUCCAAAAGAAUUUUGCCAGUGCCCACAAUUCUCCCCACUUUGCAGAUGAAGGUGCUCAGACCCGGAGGGUGGACACCUUGCCCAUACUCAAUCCCUGGGGAACAGGUUCCAAGAGAGGCAAGAAGUAGGCAGAAAAUGAGCUGCCAAUCACAGAGGCUUGGGGGCUGAAGGUACCGAAAGUCACACACAGUGUUCAAUAAAUUAGCAGUUUAUUUAUGGAAUAAACACUGAAGCAUGAAAUGAGUAAGCUUGUGAAGGAUGUGGUGGAUGGCAGAGGCCAUGAGAUGAACUUUUUUUUUUUUUUUUUUGGCAUUUAGUUUAAAAAAUUGAUACUGAAAAAACUCAAUAGAACCCAGGUCCAUAGAGCCUGACAUCCUAUUCACACCCACCCUGGUCCCCUGCCCUGCACCCCGUCAGCACCCAGCUUUGUCUGUUUCUGAGACUGGGUGCCCCCACCCAUUCCUACUUCCAACUUCCUUCAGACCCACCCCUCCCUCCCUCCUGGUUGCAGCUGACCACCAGCCCAACCACAGAGGCUGGGCUGGAGAGACCACACCUCCUUCCUACAUAAAUACCCGCAGCCCCUCCUCCCCAGAUACUAAAUGAAAAAAUAAACAUUGUGAACACCCUCCCCCAACCCACCAAUGGAAAUCUGGAUUUGGGGCCCCAGCCAUUCACCCAAAAAGUCCUUCUUCUAGCCUCUCUGCAGCCCCCUUCGACUCCUCCCCAGACUCUCUCCAGGGGGGGAGGAGGGGAAGGGCCAUGAACCCUUCUGAUGCCAGGGCACCCCUCCCCUGUUAUCGAGGUCCAAGCAGGGCGAGGGCUGAGAGGAAGAGAAUGAGGAGAGGUUGGGCAUGAAAACCAAUAGAUGUCCCUCCAGUCCUGUUCCUGUCCUGGUUGUGGCGGAUAAGGACAUCGCCUCCUUUACCCCCAGCACUAUCCCUUCGAGGAGGGCGAAGAGGCCGGCCUGGGGGGGCCGCAGCUGCUGCCCCAGCCAUCCAGUCAUCUGCAUAGUGCUGUCCCUCUCCGGAGCCGCUAGCGUCCUCUGCAGGGUGGAGGAAGAUCAGAAGAAGACAGGGAUGGGAAAGAGAGGUAGCAGGAGAUGGGGAGAGAGAAAGAAAUGCAGGCAAGGAGGAAAAGAACUCGUGAUAAAAUCAGUGAAGGAGGGGAGCAGGCAGGUUGGGAGGAGGGAGAAAGUGAGUGGCAGGAAGGCAAGGAGUGAGAGAUCAGACAUGGGAAUAGGCAAAGAAAACAAGAGACAGGAAGAGACGAUGAGACAGAGACAGAAAAGAGAGACAGAUGGGGAGAGAGGAUAAACAGAAAAAGACAGAGAAAACAGACACAGAAGCAGCAGCGAGCAGACGGGAAGGGGUGGGGAGGAGAGACAGAGACAGUGGGAGAAAAGAAAAAAAUGUAAAUGCCUUGCUUUUCUCUGGCAAACUCUACCCCUACCCCACUUCCCCACCGCCCCGGAUCGCCGCCCUCCCCAGUCUCUCACAGCCCAUUGCCCACUCUCAGGAGCUUCCGUCCAGUUCUGUAAGAAUGUUUGGUGUCUUCCCGCGCAUUGGUCUUCUACGCCCCUUCCUUUGAGAUAAGCGUUGCGUACGAGCGUGUAAAUUGAGUGAGUGAAUGAAUGAACGGUAACUGAGAUGCCAGGGGAGGAGCUACAGAAGGCAGGGGGCGGGGUUACGAUUUGGCCGGAGUCCAAUCAUGGGCAGCUGGGAGGAGCGAGGCCCUCGCUCCGCCCCCGGGUCUCACCCCAGUCCUCCUGCUCCAAGUCGCGUCCUUGGGCGGCCGCCUUCAUCCUGGUCGUGGCUGCGCGCAGCUUCAGCCGCCGCCUCCGCGUCUGAAGGUCGGGGCUCGAGGCUUCCGCAUCCAGCUCUGGGUUGUCGAGGUGCAUCAAACCCUCUGAGAUCUUCGCCCCGAGGGACUGGGCUGCUAACUCAAAGGAAAAGGGGCCCUGGAUCUUCUCAGCCAGGAACAGGAGACCAUCUUGAAAGAGAGGAAGAGAGAAAAGGUGAAAUGAAGGGACAUUCACUUCUGAGAUUCUCACUGAACUGGGAAGUUCCCACAGAUCUGGCCCGGAGGGAAGCAGCAAGUCUUAGAUGGGGGCAACUCACGGGAGAAGAGCCCCGUCCUCUCCCCUCAGUGCUGCUUAAAACUCCCUCCCCAGUCCACACUGUCCACCCCCACGCAGACAGCCCCCUCCCAGGCUUUCCUGAAUCCCCUCACCCAGGUAGGGCCCCCAGUCAGGAUCCAAUCCCUGGCUGCCGAUACAGCCAUGGGCCACGUUGAGGCAGAAGCCCCGGCAGGGUGGCAGCGAGGGGACCCCCCGGCAAAGGGGGCAACCUGUCAGACGCAUCACAGCCCGCCUGCAGCCUUCGGACAUCGGCAUCUGGGAGCAGAGAGCAGGGCUGUGUCAUCCACAGACACCGUGGCUACCUUCAGCCAAGCCUGGUGCCGGGCACGGAGAGAAACCAAACCUCCCACCCCACCUUUCCCAAGUUCUGCAUGUGAACAUCUAGAGCUGGGCGUGAACAUCUAGAAUUGAUGACCCCAUGUGGCAUCAGGAGUGAUCCCAAGGCUGCCACAGAUCUGAGGAGGGAGCUUCCUAAGGGCCAGGGUGCAGACACUGCUUCUUGGGAAAGAUGGAACUAGAAGGGUGGUGGGGGUGAGGGUGGGGGUCUGAGAAAAGGUUCAAGGAAAAGAGUGAGCCCAUCCUGGUUGCGGAGAAAGGAGACUGACGAUGCAGGAGGUAAGGCUGGGAGGUUAGAGAAGAAUGGGCAGUUGAGACAGGGCCUUAAAGGCCAGGCCAGGAAUCUGGCCUCCAGUAGCAGAGAAAAGGGAGCCACUGAGGGGUCCUGGGGAAAACCAGGAGGGCCAGUACUCCAAUCUCAGAGAUGCUGGGAGCAGGUCCCCAGCGUAUGGCAGGGGUAAGAGUCAUCAGAGGGUCAGAGGUGGGAGGAGGUCAAGGGUCAUAGCACAAGGGAGACGCUAGCCUUCCUGUUUUACUUGGGGAUGCCAGGGCCUUGAGGCUGAUAUGGGAAGGCCCAGGCCCUCCCUCUCCUGCCAGUUGGCACCUGACUCUUCCACAUGGGGCCUCUCCUACUUCUUCCUCUCCCUCCCUGGGCCCUGCCCCCUCUAACCUUAAGUGUUUCGCUGACCACAUCUCUUCCAGUCUCCAGGCCCUGGACAAAGGCCCGGGCAGCCACCAGGGCUCGGGUUAUCUGGGGAAGAGGAAAGAAGGUGAGAAAAAGCACAGCAUUGUCGAGGGUCCGUCAACACUGGGGCCAAGAGACUGCACCAAGGGGAUGAGCACUUAGGGCCAGUGUGUGAACCAAGAAGGAGCCGUUCUCCUCUACCAGGCCUCGGAAGGUGGUCUCAGUCUCCCAGGUCAGCCUCUGCUCUAUCUCACUGGAACAGCAGGUGUACUCCUGGGGACAGAUCCGGAGGUGCUCACCUGGACAGGGGAGACAUGAAAGAACGGCAGGAGGUCCAGGACCAGGACCGGGACACAGAGGCAACAGCAGAAGCAGAAGAGAUCGCAGAGCGUACAUAACUGCUGCCACCUCGGGACGGCAAAGUGGGUGCUAAGGAGGAAAGAAGAGCCCCUCGAACUCGGGA